AUUGAACGCUGGCGGCAGGCCUAACACAUGCAAGUCGAGCGGAUGAAGGGAGCUUGCUCCUGGAUUCAGCGGCGGACGGGUGAGUAAUGCCUAGGAAUCUGCCUGGUAGUGGGGGAUAACGUCCGGAAACGGGCGCUAAUACCGCAUACGUCCUGAGGGAGAAAGUGGGGGAUCUUCGGACCUCACGCUAUCAGAUGAGCCUAGGUCGGAUUAGCUAGUUGGUGGGGUAAAGGCCUACCAAGGCGACGAUCCGUAACUGGUCUGAGAGGAUGAUCAGUCACACUGGAACUGAGACACGGUCCAGACUCCUACGGGAGGCAGCAGUGGGGAAUAUUGGACAAAGGGCGAAAGCCUGAUCCAGCCAUGCCGCGUGUGUGAAGAAGGUCUUCGGAUUGUAAAGCACUUUAAGUUGGGAGGAGGGGCAGUAAGUUAAUACCUUGCUGUUUUGACGUUACCAACAGAAUAAGCACCGGCUAACUUCGUG
rnacentral:rRNA from 1 species